rnacentral:misc_RNA from 1 species
GAUGAAGAACGUAGCGAAAUGCGAUAAGUAAUGUGAAUUGCAGAAUUCAGUGAAUCAUCGAAUCUUUGAACGCACAUUGCGCCCGCCAGCAUUCUGGCGGGCAUGCCUGUUCGAGCGUCAUUUCAACCCUCGCAGCCCAUCUGGGCAGCGGUGUUGGGGACCGGCACCACCGGCGAAGCCCUUAGGGGCUCAGCCGGCGCCGCCCCCGAAAUACAGUGGCGGUCUCGCUGCAGCCUCCCUUGCGUAGUAGCACACCUCGCACCGGAGCGCAGCGCGGCCACGCCGUAAAACCCCCGACUUUCUGAGUUUGACCUCGAAUCAGGUAGGAAUACCCGCUGAACUUAAGCAUAUCAAUAAGCGGAGGA